GUCUACAGCCAUACCACUCUGAACAUGCCCCAUCUUGGAUGAUCUUAGAAGCUAAGCAGGGUCAGGCCUGGUUAGUACUUGGAUGGGAGGCUGCCUGGGAAUACCGGGUGCUGUAGGCU
rnacentral:rRNA from 1 species